AACGAACGCUGGCGGCAGGCCUAACACAUGCAAGUCGAGCGAGAUCUUCGGGUCUAGCGGCGGACGGGUGAGUAACGCGUGGGAAUAUGCCCUUCUCUGCGGAAUAGCCUCGGGAAACUGAGCGUAAUACCGCAUACGCCCUUUGGGGGAAAGAUUUAUCGGAGAAGGAUUAGCCCGCGUUGGAUUAGGUAGUUGGUGGGGUAACGGCCUACCAAGCCGACGAUCCAUAGCUGGUUUGAGAGGAUGAUCAGCCACACUGGGACUGAGACACGGCCCAGACUCCUACGGGAGGCAGGAGGGGGGAAUCUUAGACAAGGGGGGCAACCCUGAUCUAGCCAUGCCGGGUGAGUGAUGAAGGCCUUAGGGUUGUAAAGCUCUUUCAGCUGGGAAGAUAAGGACGGUACCAGGAGAAGAAGCCCCGGCUAACUCCGU
rnacentral:rRNA from 1 species